rnacentral:rRNA from 1 species
AGAGUUUGAUCCUGGCUCAGGACGAACGCUGGCGGCACGCUUAACACAUGCAAGUCGAACGAGAGAAGAGGAGCUUGCUUUUCUGAUCUAGUGGCGGACGGGUGAGUAACACGUGAGCAAUCUGCCUUUCAGAGGGGGAUACCGAUUGGAAACGAUCGUUAAUACCGCAUAACAUAAUUGAACCGCAUGAUUUGAUUAUCAAAGAUUUAUCGCUGAAAGAUGAGCUCGCGUCUGAUUAGCUAGUUGGUAAGGUAACGGCUUACCAAGGCGACGAUCAGUAGCCGGACUGAGAGGUUGAUCGGCCACAUUGGGACUGAGACACGGCCCAGACUCCUACGGGAGGCAGCAGUGGGGAAUAUUGCACAAUGGAGGAAACUCUGAUGCAGCGAUGCCGCGUGAGGGAAGAAGGUUUUAGGAUUGUAAACCUCUGUCUUCAGGGACGAAAAAAGACGGUACCUGAGGAGGAAGCUCCGGCUAACUACGUGCCAGCAGCCGCGGUAAUACGUAGGGAGCGAGCGUUGUCCGGAAUUACUGGGUGUAAAGGGAGCGUAGGCGGGAUCGCAAGUCAGAUGUGAAAACUAUGGGCUUAACCCAUAAACUGCAUUUGAAACUGUGGUUCUUGAGUGAAGUAGAGGUAAGCGGAAUUCCUAGUGUAGCGGUGAAAUGCGUAGAUAUUAGGAGGAACAUCAGUGGCGAAGGCGGCUUACUGGGCUUUAACUGACGCUGAGGCUCGAAAGCGUGGGGAGCAAACAGGAUUAGAUACCCUGGUAGUCCACGCCGUAAACGACGAUUACUAGGUGUGGGGGGACUGACCCCUUCCGUGCCGCAGCAAACGCAAUAAGUAAUCCACCUGGGGAGUACGACCGCAAGGUUGAAACUCAAAGGAAUUGACGGGGGCCCGCACAAGCAGUGGAGUAUGUGGAUUAAUUCGAAGCAACGCGAAGAACCUUACCAGGUCUUGACAUCGUAUGCAUAGCUCAGAGAUGAGUGAAAUCUCUUCGGAGACAUAUAGACAGGUGGUGCAUGGUUGUCGUCAGCUCGUGUCGUGAGAUGUUGGGUUAAGUCCCGCAACGAGCGCAACCCUUACUGUUAGUUGCUACGCAAGAGCACUCUAGCAGGACUGCCGUUGACAAAACGGAGGAAGGUGGGGAUGACGUCAAAUCAUCAUGCCCCUUAUGACCUGGGCCUCACACGUACUACAAUGGCUGUCAACAGAGGGAAGCAAAGCCGCGAGGUGGAGCGAACCCCUAAAAGCAGUCUUAGUUCGGAUUGUAGGCUGCAACCCGCCUACAUGAAGUCGGAAUUGCUAGUAAUCGCAGAUCAGCAUGCUGCGGUGAAUACGUUCCCGGGCCUUGUACACACCGCCCGUCACGCCAUGGGAGUCGGUAACACCCGAAGCCUGUAGUCUAACCGCAAGGAGGACGCAGUCGAAGGUGGGAUUGAUGACUGGGGUGAAGUCGGAACAAGGUAGCCGUAUCGGAAGGUGCGGCUG